UACAGAGGUCUCAAGCGUUGUUCGGAUUCAUUGGGCGUAAAGGGUGCGUAGGCGGCGCGGUAAGUCCGGGGUGUGAAAUUUCGAGGCUUAACUUCGAAACUGCAUUCGAUACUGCCGUGCUUGAGGACUGGAGAGGAGACUGGAAUUUACGGGUGUAGCGGUGAAAUGCGUAGAUAUCGUAAGGAAGACCAGUGGCGAAGGCGGGUCUCUGGGAC
rnacentral:rRNA from 1 species